AUUAUUAUUACUAUAGCUUCAUCUUUGGCUUCAUUUUUUACCUUUCUACUCAUAUUUUCUGUGCAUCCCAAUUUCAUUGUCUGUUUAUUGUUUUUCUACUCACCCUGUGUGCAUUUUUCCAUUUGGUAAACAGAUAGAGAACGGAUAAAUAAGGACAUUGCUUCGGUGACAAAGAUUUGUCCUCCCAAGCCCCUGGCCACGUUGCCCUCUUCUCAAAGCUAACGGUGUUCACUGUUCGUGUUAUUCACUCUGGUACUGAAUGACUUAUGACUCUGUAUCACUGUCUAUCUUUGCCAUGUGGACGUCUCUCCUCGGGUUAUUAUAACCUCUUUGAGCUUUUGGAUCCCCAAGAGUGCCCAUCUCCAUGGGUAUGGCUCCUAACGGCCUCCGAGGAAAUAACUGUUGAAUUAAUUUAACUGGAAAUUGAAUUGACUUAGCCAGGUCAAGGAAGACAGGAGGGGAGUUUUGUAGCCAAGAAAAGGAAAGCUGGAAAAGGACCUCAGAGGACAGUCACAGAGGAUGUAAUCCUUAAUCUCUGCUCAAGUUGCACACUUCAAAAAGCCACUUGCACAGUGGUUCCCAAUCUUUUUGAUCUCUGGAGGCUUUUACAGUCUUAAAAAUUAUUGUGGCCCCCAGAAGGCUUUUGUUUAUAUAGAUGAUAGCUAAAAUGGGGACAUUUUUGUAAUAAUUAUUUAUUUAUAUGAUUAAAAAAUAAACCUAUUAGAGUUAAUAACAUAUUUUCAGGGGAAAUAUUCUUUAUCCCAAACAGAAUUUUAUGAUGAGUGGCAUUGUUUUUAUGUUCUGCAAAUCGCUGUAACAUCUGGCUUGAUAGGAGACAGCUGGAUCCUCCUGUGCACUCGUUCAAGCUGUCGUGAUAUCACAGAUCAUGGAGUUUCUGCAAAACCACUGCGUACUCGCGAGAGGAUAAGCAUGGCCAGGGCACGUCAUGACUUAUGAUUGCUUUGAAGAUAGUUGCGUACACCGUGGACCCCAGACCACCCUGUAGGAACCUGCUACAGGAGAGUAGCAUCUCCGCGCCGUGCUGUUUUCCCGAAUCAAGAGAAUAUGCAUAGUGCUACAACGCUAUCUCCGUUCUUUUAGCUGAGAACCUUCGCAUUGGCUAAGCUGGCUUGUCCAAAGGAGUGAGACGUGAGAGCCGCCUCGGGUACUGCACUCUACUUUUCUCGUGUGUCCUAAAUGGUGGGAAGAUACAGACAGACCCAAGCCCUUAGACCCCCUUGCUCACCCAGACGUGACACCACAGCCCUUCCUUGGCAAUGCUCAGUUUCUUAGUGUAGGUGACUUAUUAGCCCUGUUAUUUUUAAUUUGAUGUUGGGAAACAAGGGGGUAUGGCUCCGAAUGAAACCUUUUGUAGAGGAAAAAAAAGGGACAUUACAGAAAUAAUUACUGGGACAAAUUACUGAGUCAAUCCAGGUGUGAUGUUUUGUACAUUUUUAUGCAUAUUUCAAUUGCUGUAAUUUGAAAAUAUGCAUCACGCACUCCGUUUCAAUUCAUUACUAUUGGCAGCUCUGUAUUAACAGGCUUACGAGUGCCAGAGUUCAGACUAAUUAUGCAGAAUGGCACUGACAGACUUAUUAUAAGCUAUAUUUAAUUUGAGCCUGUAGAUAAUAAAUACAAAAAAAAAGAAGUUCUUUGUGCUUACUUCUUACUCCCAACUCAGGAGCUCGCAGUGCCAACUUUCUAGCUAAUCUCGUAAGACCUGUUUGAAACGGGUCUUUGGGACAAAAAUGCUAUCUGCCAGUGACAGAUCAAGAGCUUGGAGGCAGGAAGAAACGGAGUGAACUGUAAGUGAUCUGUAAAGAUCGGUGUUCUGAGCUCAAUAAACUCGUCUCCCUGGAAGUUAUAAUUGCAUGAACUUUGGGAAACAGAUGGUCAUCUAGAGAUUUUAGCUCCUAAUGGGUAAAAGAGUUGCAGACUACAGAGAUGGUUAUUACACAGAAUGAAGUUUUGAGGACCAGUCGGAUACGGGAAGUAAGGGAGAGGUUAAGACUCUCACCCAUGGCUGGACCUGGUUAGCUGGUGUAAUGCCCCAAGAGGUCAGAACGGAGGGGCAGGGUGGAGGUGUGGUGGGUGAUGCCUUUUCCUGGGGUCGCGUUGCGUUUGGGGUGAGCUGCAGGGAAGCGGAGGAAGUCCGUCGGGGGAGAAAGUUCCGGAAGGACUUAGCGUAUCUCGGCCUGGAGCCCGGGGGAGAUCUGCGAGGCGGCACGUCUUCGCGUAGUAGGCGAAGCCAAAGUGUGGAGAGGUCACCCAGAGAAGAGUGAUGCAGACUCGAGCUGCGAGAUUGGACACCCGCCGGGAAGGUUCUCCGCUGCGCUCUGGGGGAAGGAGAGGCCGCAGCGACCGGCACCUCUUGCUCUGAAAGCCGGAGCAGCCAGACGUUCGUUAGGAGCCGCGUCUCAGAUUCCUUUUCAGUGCACAGUCCGUUUGGAGAGAGACGUUGGGGGCAGUCACAGGAGCAGGGCUGCUGUGCGUUUUUUGGCCCCAGACGGGGGUGCCGGGAGCCCCCUGGAGGUGGAGUCCGGAACUCAGAUGGACUCCCCACGGGUGGGCUGCCUGCGUGUGUAGGGCUCACCUUUCAGCCACCUUCCCUGGAGCGCAGCAGCUUGGAAAUAACCACAUGCGACAAUCCCCAAGGGGAAGCCAGCACCAGGCGGCCAGGAGGCCCCCUGUCUGUCGCCUGCCUCUGUCAAGUCUUCCCAAGGAGCCCGAGGUUCAGAUCUUGAAUCACUGAAGAUCGCGUGGUUCUCAGCAAAUUCAAACGAAAGGCUUGAGAUUUCUGACUUGCGAUCGUGCUGAGUAUUAGGCGGAAUGAAAACUGACGCAAUUUAGAGAACGGCUCCUUAGUCUUUUUGGUCGGCUGAAAAGGGACUUCAACCAACAUUUUAAUUAACUGAUUAAUUUUUGUGGUGCUCUUUUCGGCGUCCGCGUGAUCGUCGUACCUUUCCCGUUCUUCCUGCUGGACUUCUCCACUUGUGUAUUUCUUGCCGCCCAAGUUUUGUUUUGUCUUGUCUUCAGAAUAAAGCGAUGGUUGUAGUGAUA